UUUUCUAGAGUGGAAUUAUGAUGUUAGUC
rnacentral:piRNA from 1 species